GCUGUAAGCCCUUUCGGAAGAAAGAAAUACUUGCAGUCAUGAAGACAGAGCGUUCUGGAAACUAUUUGGGCCAAGUGCCUUGCUUCACUUGGAGUCUUCCCUGGUGCUUUCUCUAACAAGCUGACUGCAGAGACUGGUUUGAUUGGGUGGGCUGAUCCUUUCCCGUUGUAGUGUUUCGGCAAUGAGAUCCGGGAUGCAAUUCCACCUCAAUGCCUGGCUUACUGUGAGCUCUCAACAGAAGUUUGUACACUGAAUUAAUGAGCUGCAGAAGAGAGGCAUACAGGAGACUGACUGCAAAUGGUUUGGAUGUUUCAUCCACCUAACCUUCCAAUGGGUGCCUGGAUUCUCUGGAGGAGACGAACCCACCCCUUUAUUUGUACUGGACCAGUAGAACACCACUCUUCACAGGGGGAGGAUGGUGUCAAGGCAGGAAACAGAAAGAUCAAGGGCCCAAAGGCUGGAGGAGCCCAGGCCUGGCCUUCAGAGCUCUUACCCAAUCUUGGAUCCUGGCCGCGAGUCAACUGCACCCUUCCAAUCUCGAGUUUAAGUCGCUCUCUGUUACCAUGGGAACGGAACACGCAUCUCUACCACUUCUCUGUUGUUUCGGGCAUUCUAUACCUUGGACCCUUAGCUUCCAGUUCCCAGCCAAAGGAGGAGAGGGGAGAGGGAGAGGGAGGGAAGGGAGUCUGGCUUCUAAGGUGAAAAGAUGGUAGGAGUGCCUCCCAGGGCAUCCCGUGUGGACUCACCUGCGCUGGAACCCAGGACCAACAUCUCUAAGCCCCUGGGUGUCACCAUCAGCUCAUCGGCUCCGUUGAGUGCUAUCCAUGAGACAGAGAGUUGCCUUUGGGAACAUGCAUGGGCCUGAUCUGGAGUCAGGGGACAGAACCCCGGUGAAAUGUACUGAUCGUGACUCUAGAUGGACUCGCUGGUGUUGCAGGGUUUCUGUGACGCCUAAGCAGUCACUAGGACUGUGUGUUCCUGGCUAAUAGUGCCUCCUGGUGGCCUGGGCUAGACUCCUGGGAAGAGCUGAGAACAACAACAACACAAAAGAAACUGCUGGGAAAGUAAGGGGCACAGACCCACCGGGAAACCAGUAAACAGAGAACAGUCGGUGGCCGUUUCUGCCCCUCUCCGAGGCAAUGAGGAGACCCAGGCGAGGCUCAUAAAGGACAGUUGGCGUUGAUGACAGAACCUCAGGACUUCUAAAGGCUGAUAUGGGUGAAGAGACAUCUUGAGCUGCCAUCUCUUCCAUUAUAUAUUUUGAAUGUCUGCUUCUCUUACACUUGGAGAUUCUUCAAA